rnacentral:rRNA from 1 species
GUGGGGAAUAUUGGACAAUGGGCGAAAGCCUGAUCCAGCCAUGCCGCGUGUGUGAAGAAGGUCUUCGGAUUGUAAAGCACUUUAAGUUGGGAGGAAGGGCAUUAACCUAAUACGUUAGUGUUUUGACGUUACCGACAGAAUAAGCACCGGCUAACUCUGUGCCAGCAGCCGCGGUAAUACAGAGGGUGCAAGCGUUAAUCGGAAUUACUGGGCGUAAAGCGCGCGUAGGUGGUUCGUUAAGUUGGAUGUGAAAUCCCCGGGCUCAACCAGGGAACUGCAUCCAAAACUGGCGAGCUAGAGUAGGGCAGAGGGUGGUGGAAUUUCCUGUGUAGCGGUGAAAUGCGUAGAUAUAGGAAGGAACACCAGUGGCGAAGGCGACCACCUGGGCUCAUACUGACACUGAGGUGCGAAAGCGUGGGGAGCAAACAGGAUUAGAAACCCGUGUAGUCC